rnacentral:rRNA from 1 species
ACAAUGGAGAGUUUGAUCCUGGCUCAGGAUGAACGCUAGCGGCAGGCCUAAUACAUGCAAGGCGAGGGGGCAGCAAUGUCACCGUCGAAC